rnacentral:rRNA from 1 species
CAGCACCUCAAGUGGUCAGGAUGAUUAUUGGGCCUAAAGCAUCCGUAGCCUGCUUUGUAAGUUUUCGGUUAAAUCCAUACGCUCAACGUAUGGGCUGCCGGGAAUACUGCACAGCUAGGGAGUGGGAGAGGUAGACGGUACCCGGUAGGAAGGGGUAAAAUCCUUUGAUCUAUUGAUGACCACCUGUGGCGAAGGCGGUCUACCAGAACACGUCCGACGGUGAGGGAUGAAAGCUGGGGGAGCAAACCGGAUUAGAUACCCGAGUAGUCC